UACGUAGGGGGCUAGCGUUGUCCGGAAUCAUUGGGCGUAAAGAGCGUGUAGGCGGCCCGGUAAGUCCGCUGUGAAAGUCGGGGGCUCAACCCUCGAAUGCCGGUGGAUACUGUCGGGCUAGAGUGCGGAAGAGGCGAGUGGAAUUCCUGGUGUAGCGGUGAAAUGCGUAGAUAUUCGCAAGAACACCAGUGGCGAAGGCGGCUCACUGGCCCGAUACUGACGCUGAGGCACGGAAAAGCGAUGG
rnacentral:rRNA from 1 species